CUAUUAUCUCUACCCUGCUUCUCUCUUACGGAACCUUACACGGCCAAAACAAUUCUCCUUCUUCCUUCUUAAUCGAGAGUCUGAAAUUCGGAUUGGUAUACUAUCUGUUUAAAAGGAAAACCAAUCGGGGAAUUUUGUUCUGCUCACUCAAUGGUGAAAAUUCUCGAGGAUUGUAGAAAAUUACGGCUUUGCUUGAUUAAACAGGACAUUAUGCAGCUAAUAUCUACAACAACCUUGGGAAAACAUGGGAGAAUAUGGGAGUUUUGGACACAGGACUACUAAUGGUUGUUUUAAUUUACCGCGAAGACGCACCUCAGCUACCAUCAGGUAGAUCUCUUCUUUUAAUGUUGCAGGAAUGCGUGGCACCAUUGUCCCAGGAAUUAAGCAGUGUGUGAUGGUAAAGACAUCCAACCAAUGAUUUUUUUUUUUUUUUGAGAUGCACCAUAUCAUCAUGUCUUUUGCAUUUUUUGGCUUCAUAAAAUAUAAUUUUUAACUAAAAAUUACUUGGUAUCUUCUCGGUCACCUACAAUGCGUGGUUGUGUGAACUGAGUGUUUUUAUUUUUUAUUUUCUGCUUCAACAAUACAUGUGAUAUCCAGAUAUUGAUGUUUUCAAGUGGAUGUAUUUUUCUCUUAAGGGAUCUAAGUGUUAGAAAAAACGGCUUUGUUAUACCAAAUUUGCAUGGACUAUGUUUUGAUCUCUAGACCUAUUGCCCACUACUUGUUUUUUCAUUUAAAUAGAUAAAACAA